rnacentral:rRNA from 1 species
GAUCAUUACCGAGUGAGGGCCCUCUGGGUCCAACCUCCCACCCGUGUUUAUCGUACCUUGUUGCUUCGGUGGGCCCGCCACUUGUGGCCGCCGGGGGGCACCUGCCCCCGGGCCCGCGCCCGCCGAAGACACCAUUGAACGCUGUAUGAAGAUUGCAGUCUGAGCUUAUUAGCUAAAUUAGUUAAAACUUUCAACAACGGAUCUCUUGGUUCCGGCAUCGAUGAAGAACGCAGCGAAAUGCGAUAAGUAAUGUGAAUUGCAGAAUUCAGUGAAUCAUCGAGUCUUUGAACGCACAUUGCGCCCCCUGGUAUUCCGGGGGGCAUGCCUGUCCGAGCGUCAUUGCUGCCCUCAAGCACGGCUUGUGUGUUGGGCCCCCGUCCCCCCCUCCCGGGGGACGGGCCCGAAAGGCAGCGGCGGCACCGCGUCCGGUCCUCGAGCGUAUGGGGCUUUGUCACCCGCUCUGUAGGCCCGGCCGGCGCCUGCCGACCACCAUCAAUCUUUUUUCAGGUUGACCUCGGAUCAGGUAGGGAUACCCGCUGAACUUAAGCAUAUCAAUAAGCGGAGGAAAAGAAACCAACAGGGAUUGCCCUAGUAACGGCGAGUGAAGCGGCAAGAGCUCAAAUUUGAAAGCUGGCUCCUUCGGGGUCCGCAUUGUAAUUUGCAGAGGAUGCUUCGGGAGCGGUCCCCGUCUAAGUGCCCUGGAACGGGCCGUCAUAGAGGGUGAGAAUCCCGUAUGGGACGGGGUGUCCGCGCCCGUGUGAAGCUCCUUCGACGAGUCGAGUUGUUUGGGAAUGCAGCUCUAAAUGGGUGGUAAAUUUCAUCUAAAGCUAAAUAUUGGCCGGAGACCGAUAGCGCACAAGUAGAGUGAUCGAAAGAUGAAAAGCACUUUGAAAAGAGAGUUAAAAAGCACGUGAAAUUGUUGAAAGGGAAGCGCUUGCGACCAGACUCGCCUACGGGGUUCAGCCGGCAUUCGUGCCGGUGUACUUCCCCGUGGGCGGGCCAGCGUCGGUUUGGGCGGCCGGUCAAAGGCUCCCGGAAUGUAACGCCUCUCGGGGCGUCUUAUAGCCGGGGGUGCAAUGCGGCCUGCCUGGACCGAGGAACGC